UACGUAUCAAUACUAAUUUUACACUUCUUUUGUUAAUUACUAAUUUUUAGUAUCAUGUUCAUCAUCAAAUUCUCUCUUAAAAAUAUUAUCAAAUAAAUUUUUACAAUUCUCUUUUGGUUAGGAUUUAAAAAUAUGAUACAAAUUUCUUUUAUUUAAAAUUUUUUAUGAAAAAAGAAAACAACUAUCAAAUAUUUGUUAUAGUUUUGAAGGAUUUAAAAAAAGGAAGUUAUAUUACAUAAUCUUUUACAAUUAUAUUUUGUCUACGAUUUAGAAAAAUAAAAUUUCUAUCAAAUAAUUAUUUUCAGUUAAUAUUAACUAUUUUUAAAAGUUGCAUUUUCAAAAUUCGUUGUUUUCUUUUUUUUUAACCCAAAUUAUUAUUUUUAUUGAUCCAAUGGGCCUAGCCCACGGCCGAAGCCCGAGUACAUCAUAUUACAAACCCAAAAGCCCAUCGAACUAAUCGGGCAAUUAAAACUGAAACAACUGGCCGAGGCCCAAAUCACGAACAGGGCCCAAGACCCAACCUGCUGGGUCGGGGAAGACCUAGACGCGCGUCAAGGAGGCAUGGGCUAAGACACGUGUACGAAUCCUGCUCGUCAGCUCACCACGCGUCGCCCACCUCGACUUGAACGCCCCAUCCUCGCACAGCCACCGUCCCUUCCACCGUCAUCACGUUUCGCCGGAGCUCCGAAACUACAAAGCCUCCGCGAGACCAUCGCUCCUCUGCGUCGUCUUGUCUUCCCUAUCACUAAUAUUUUUACAAUUUUUCUUGUUAGUUAAAUAAUUGUUACUAUCAUGUUUAUCAUUAAUUGUUAAUUAAAAAAUACUAUUAAAUAAAAUUUUACAUUCUCUUUGGUCAUCAUUUUUUUUUAAAAGGAAAAAAAAUCUUAAUUGGUUAAGAUUAGAAAAAAAAAUUGUUUUUAGAAAUCCCUUUUUUAAGGAUUUUAGGAAAAGAAGAAGUUUUUAUUUACACAUUCACAAUCUAAUUUUUUUAAUUGACACAUGUCACAAUUAUAUCAUAUGAAAUAUUUGAAGUUAAUUUUGGUUUUUAUUUUUUUAACACAUAAUUAUUGAAAGUAAAGUUAGUUAAUUAUAAAUAAAGUAAGAUUAUUUUUCUAUUUUUUAUAUUUUAUUUAGACUUUUAAAAAGAAAUUAAUUAUUUUAUAAUUAGUUUUUAUUUUUGAUUUUUAUACAACUAUUUUAAUUUUAAUAGAAAAAAAUUCUGUUUAAUUAUUUAUUUAUUUUGUCUUAUACAUACAAACACAUAUCCAUCAUAUUCACACAUACUCAUGUACGACAACAACAUCAAAAUUAAAAAUUAUGUUGCAUCAAGAAAUUAAAAGAUGUAAUAAGGAUAAUAAAAAGUUGAGUUGCAUCAAAAAAUUAAAAGAAAAUCUCAGGUAAUACUUUUCAUGUAAAUACUAUUGUGUUUUGUAGAAAUAACAUGUGGAAGCUUAAACCUAAAUAUAGAUGUGAAAUAUAAAUGUAGUUUUUUUUAAUUCAUUUUUAUUAUCUUAUUAUAUAUUUGUUUAAUCAUUAUAUACAAUACUAGAAAGAAAAUUAUUAUCAAAUAAUCUUUUGCAAUUAUCUUUUGAUUAGGAUUUAAAAAAAAAAAAUUACUAUUAAAUAAUAUUUAUAAUUAUUUUUUAAUAAAAUUUGUUUUUGUUAAUAUCUUAUUAUAUAUUUUUAAUUAUGAGAUAGAUUAACACAUGUCACAAUCCUAAAUAUAUAAUUGACAUAUGUCGCGAUCAUGUUAAUUAGCAACUUAAAAAACCAAGUUUUAUAUAAUAAGAUAUACACAAAAUAAUAUAAUAAAAUUAAUAUAAAUGUGCGUACUGUUCACUUGUAUGUUUGGUCAUACAUCUCUGCUUAGGCAAGCUACCAAGUCAAACUAUGUUCCAAGUCUUUUAAGAGUCUGAUCUACUCUUGUAUGCAUGAUUUCAGUUUAUCUAUGUUUUUAAUCUCAUCUUCAAGUAUCUUCAAAUACAAAAGACGUUAUUUACCAUUAACAUAGCAGUCGCCUGAAGUCACACUUCACACCGGUCUCCUUAAUUGUCUCCCAAGGUAUAACCAAAGCCUAGCAGUGAUAUACUGAUAUUCAAAGAAUAGCAUAUAAAGAUAUAUGAGUUUCAUUCAGUUUACUCAAUCGAACACCUUACUUUGACGCACAUGAAGAAUAGAUUCUUUAAAUAUAAUAUAGGGACAUUACUUUGAAGCAACAUUUUAAAUAUCUACCAAUUGUUACAUGCAUGUGUAACAAGAAAACAGCGAUGGAAAUAUAUAUAUAUAUAUAUAUAUAUAUAUAUAUAUACUAUAUUUUUUGUCAAAGAGAUAUACUACUUUUUAAUCAGCUUUUUUAAUGGAACAACAUGCCUGCCGGGAGAAUACAACACACAAAGCAUGUUCAGUGUUCCAGAUCUCGCAGCCUGUACCAUCCACAUUGGUCGAAGCAUAGGAGAGACAAACAGGGGCAGACGUAGGUUGUGAGGAACAGGGUCUCGUACCCCGGCUACAUUUUAAUUUUCUUUGAAUGAUUAGCUCAAAAUUUUGAUUCUAAGAAAUAAUAAAGUCCAAAUUCUAUGAAAAUGCCCCGACACCCGGUUACAAGUACUCCUAGAUCCGCCCUUGAGACACGAACAGUUUUGCAGACACAUAACAGCUGAACUAAGCCGUCCACCAGUUUCAUUAAGUAUAAGACCAUUGCCUGAGAAAGCUGAUACUAUUAUCCUAUACGAAUAGAUACUGUCUCUAUGAAAUAGGUAUAACUAACCAGAGGGCAAACAGUUCUUGAGCCAGAUGGCAUAUCGGGGUCUAUGCAACCUGCGUUCAAACAAUCCCUAUCUCAUAACAAUCAUUGUUAACCCCUUCACCCAAAGUGAAAGGAGAAGAACUGACAUGCCUGAGCUCUCUAUCAAGCCAUUUUAUAUGCAGAAUCCCAUGUUGGUCCAUCAUUAUCGGUGAAAUAGCUUUCUGUGCAUAUCUUACACUGUAACAUUGAUAAUCAGAUGCCAAAUUUUAAAUGAUAAUUUGAAGGAAAGUAGAUGAUCUUAAACGGGCUUUUUACCUGAGAAACAUAAACCUAGUUUAUGACAUAUGAUGACCAUAUAAAAAAGGAAACUUAUAUUGUUUUAGCAAUCUAGACAGCUCUGUCCUUAAAGUUAAUGCAACUCCGAUCCUAGAGGAUCUUGCUUCCCCACUUUGAGAAAAAUUGAUAGUUAAUUGAGGCUUUUAUACUCAAAAGAAAAAAAAAAUUAGGCUUUUAUUUCUCCCAGAUAAACAUGUUAGAAUAAGAAUAUUAAUAGUAAUACUAUCUCCAUGUGUAGCGUUAUCCAGGGCCGGCUUAAGAUGAACAAGGGCCCUUGGGUUUUCCCAACUUUUUUAAAGGUCCUAUAGUAAUUAUUUUCUUAACGUUUUGUAAAAGACUAUUUUUAUUUAACCUUUUUCACACGAUCAUCAAGCAUGCACAUCCCUUUAAUAUUUCAAUUAGAAAAAAAUGUAAUACUGUGUGUUUAAAGCAGCCCAAAUCUAGAUCAUAUAUGCUAAUGAAAAUAAUUACGACUCCUAAUAUUGCUGGAAUUGGAGGGGAUCCGGGGUGGUUGCACCGCCUUGUUAAGUCGACACUGGCGUUAUCAUUGAGAUAUCGGUGAUGAUUGAUUGUGUUACUUGUAUAUUAGCACAGUAUUUAGUUUUUUUAAAAAAAUUAUUAAAUUUUAAGGAAAUUGCUACAAAUACCACAUUCAUAAUACCAUUUACACUUACCACUUUUACUCUCAUUUUUAAUGAAGAGUAAAAAACACUUAUACUCAUACCUAUAGGAUUAACUAAUCUAGACUUAGGGUUUAGAGUUGAAGAAUAGAGUAGGGUUUUUGGAAUGUGAAAUUUAAGAUUCUAAUAAAUAUAAAAAAAAUUAUAAAAUAGUUUUAAACAUAAUUUUCGAUUUUCAAAAAGAAAUUUCAAAUAAAAAUUCAAAAAAAGAUUAUAAAAAGUUCGAAUUUGAAAAAGUUUAAUUCGAAAACAUACAAAAAUUAUUUUUUUAUUUUUAUAUUUAUUUAAAUAAUGAUUUGUUAUAUAUAUAGAGAACAAUGGUACAAAAAUCUUAUGCCACUUAAUGAAGAAUGUAUUUUUAAAAAUGUCCAUUUAGUGGUGGUAAAGAUGAAAAGUGGUACCAUGAAAGUGGUAAAUAUGAAACUUCCCCUAAAGUUUACCAAUUUUGUUGUGAUUUUAUUUAUUUUUAAAUUAAAACCUGCAUCAAGCUUCUAUUUUUAUAUAUACAGUAAAAACUAUGUAUCAUAAACAAAAAUCACUUUCUUUAUUUUUAUGUUGUAGAAUCUGACCAUAAUAUCAUUAAAUUAGGUAAUUGUAGGUACAUUUAUUGCUAUAUUAAUUUUUAUUAUAAUUUAUUUUUUAACAUAAGUUCUAACUUAACUUCAACGUUUUAUAAAAGUUAGUAUUCAUAUUGUAAUAUUUUCUCUAUGAUAUAUCUAAAUAUAUAAUAUGUUUGCCCAGUUCUAACCAGAACGCUUUGUUAUUUAUAACAUACAAUAUAUAUUGUAAGCUUUUUAUUUCAUUGUAGAAAAAUAUAGAAAACACUUACAUCUGUUCUAUCAUAUAUUGUAGAUAAAACAACUAAUUCUACCUUUACGCUAUCUUCUAAGCACAUUAGAAUUUAUAUUUUAACCUUAUGUAUGUGUUAUAUUCUGUUUAGAAUAUGUAUUUAACAUUUUUGAUUAUUUUUUGUUUUUAAAUCUGAAAAAAUCUAGGAAACAAUCUUAAUUAAUUUUAUUCAAAUUUUUCUUUUUUUUUACGUAAAGUUACGUAUAUUGAAUGACUUUAAAUUCAUUCUCUUUUGAUUCAACGAUCUUCUUCAUUUAUUCUUCUUCUUCCCUAUCAAAUCAAAUGGUUUAUAUAUAUGUAACAUAUGGUGCUUGGAGAUGGGAUGUGAAUAACGAGUGGGGGAUCAUUGUUAAUUCGUCUUUGUUGAUAUUCAUUUUUCUCGUAAGGAAGGCGGAAAAAACUAGAAAAACGACACAAUUAGACUUUUAGAGUUAUUUUUUUUCUUUUAUUUUUUUAUUUUAUUUAUUUAGGGACAUUUGAGAGAAUUGCCCUUAUAUUUUUUUUUUUGAAUAAUACUUAUUUGAAUUCAUACUUUUUUUUAUUUUUUAUGUUUUCAAUUAUUUCAAUUUAGUUUUUGAAAUCCAAAAAAAUCUUUUUGAAAGUAUUUAAAAUAAUAAUAUUUAAAAUUUAUAGUAUUUAUUUAUUUAAGGUCAUCCUAGAGAUUUCUAAAAAUAUAAUUACUAUUUUAAAGUUAAGUAAAUUAUGUUAACCUAUGUUAUUCAUUUAAUUUCGUAUUAAAAAAUAAUAGGUACAUUUGGACAACUUUAUAGACUCAAAGGUAUAAAGAGACAAAUUCAUUCUCCAACAUGGUCCAAUUAGCCAGUUUUUUUCUUUUCUUAAUAAUAUAAAAUGUUUUUCCAUAUCUAAAUAACUUUAUCGUUAACAAAAUUUGUGUAACCAAUUGCAGUAUUUACAUUAUAAUUAAAAUUAUUAAUAUAUAAAUUUUGAAAAAAAAUAUUUUUAAUAAAUGUGUAUUAAUGUAAAACAUCAUAUAAUAUACAAAAGAGGGAGUAUGUAUUAUUUUCUUAACAACCAUAUUUUAAGGUUCUCGAGUAUAACUAAUGUGAGAAUUAUACAUAAUUAUUUUUUGAACAACAUUAUUAGCUUAAUUUUUUAAUCAUUUUCUUCAUAAUUAGCUCAAUUUGUAGUUGACGUAAGUAAUUAAUUAAUUGAAUUAAAUAUUAAUAUAGAUUCUGAAGAGUUUCUUAACCGAUAAACUUGCUCUAAAUUCAUAUAUUUUGAGAACCCAUGUGAAAACUCUCCUCUAAUUUUUACGUGGUUGAAGUCAAUGCAACUCCAUUACUCAAAGUUUCUGCUUCCCCAACUUUGAAGUUUUAAAAUAUCUUAAAAAACUGUUUCAGUUUUUUUUUUCUCUCUUAAAUGUCAAAUUUCUUUGAUUAGACUGAACUCAGUUAUUUUAGAGCAUGAUUAAUGAGGGGUUUUUAGCGGAAUAUAAUAACCCGUCUCUUAACUUUUAACUAAAAAAAUUAAGAAACAAUUCUUAAAUAAGAUAUUUAAGAGACAUGUUCUUAUAUUCCGCUAAGAACUCCACCCUAAGAACUCCUCAUUAAUCAUACUCUUAAUCUCCUGCUUGUUUAUUGCUUAGUGUUCUUUGGAAAAUAAUUUUUUCUGUUUCAUUAGUGAUUCGAACUUAUGUAGGGAUGUUACUUUAAAGCUAAAGUCUUAUAAACCAGCUAUUAUUGUAUGUGUAUGUAUGUAAUUAAGCACAACAUGUGCUACGCUGCCUACAUUAAACUAUUACAUGCAUCUUUUGUCAAACCAAACAGACAAGGAAAUAUAUAAUAUUUAUUUGACAACCAUGUUAUAAUGACCUGGCGUAUAACGUGGGAGAUUAUUCUAAUAAUUUGGAUAUUAUUUUGAGUUGCAAAAUCUGAUAAUCCACAGGACUAUAAAGUAGAAGGCAUGCAUGUAUAAACAAUAACACUAGAAACACAAAACAUAAAAGUCUUAUAUAUACUUAGGAUCGAUAGCUAAUUACUAUAUAUGUCGAUAUCCCACGCCCAUCCUUUGCUUCUUCCUCUCCUUGUAUCACUCUUUUUCUUGCCUGCUGUUUUGGGCGGAAAUAACUUCAGAACGUGCAAUGGAAGUUAUGAAAACUAUCGCGUUAAUGUCGAGACAGUGAAGAUCUCUCCAUACCCGGUUACCCGUAGCGGUAAUGCAGACAUUACAAUAACCGGUUAUACAGCCAGAAUCCCUGAUGGUUCAGUUGUAGAACUCACCAUUGCGAAAGCCUCCGCCGGCGACCCUAAAACUUCCAGUAUUAAAACCUACAACUUGUGUGAUAAAGUGAGGUGCCCCAUCAGACCUGGCCGCUUUUCGUUUACUUUAUCUAAAAUAUUAAGUAACGAGGAGCUAAAAGGAAGGAUAUAUGUUAUUACAGUACGCAUCAAGGAUGCGAAAGACACAAGUAUGUGCGUUGUGUUCCUUUGUUGGGUUACCGAUGAUGGUAGUACGUCUCUUAUUAGGCAAUCUGCUACGAUGAUGGAGCUUGAAUAAGCCAUUGAACCAAACAGGAUGAUUUCUGUAUGAACCUUAUUUUACUACCAUAGGACAACUGAUAUUUGUAAAGAAUAAUAAGAACAUAAACUAAAAUUUCAAUACCAAAAUAUAAAAAUAAAGAAGAA